CAGCAACAGAGUUGAGAAGAAAGCUCAGCAGGAAUUUAUCGGGGUAUAUAAAAGACUAAGCAGAACCCAGAAAACCUGUGACCUGGGAGGAAGAAUGGACCCAGCGUGGAGGAGUCCUUGAACCUUACCCCCUGGGAGGAACCCCGCGGAACAG